rnacentral:rRNA from 1 species
CAAUAGCGUAUAUUAAAGUUGUUGCAGUUAAAAGCUCGUAGUUGGAUUUCUGGUUUAGUGCGCUUGACCCGCCGCCGUUAGGCGUGUGAGUGUCGAUGCGCGCUUACCAUCCUUCUAGAGAACGUUUCUGCCCUUUACUGGGUUGGACUCGCAAUCUAGAACUUUUACUUUGAAAAAUUAGAGUGUUUAAAGCAGGCUCGCGCUAUGAAUACACUAGCAUGGAAUAAUAACUUAGGACUUUAGUCUUAUUUUGUUGGUUUCUAGGACUGAAGUAAUGAUUGAUAGGGAUAGUUGGGGGUGCUAGUAUUCAGCGGCCAGAGGUGAAAUUCUUGGAUUCGCUGAAGACUAACUUAUGCGAAAGCAUUCACCAAGGAUGUCUUCUUUAAUCAAGAACGAAAGUUGGGGGAUCGAAGAUGAUUAGAUACCAU